UUUUUUUUUUUUUUUUCUUUUUUUUUUUUUUAGGGCUGCACCUACAGCAUAAGGAAGUUCCCAGGCUAAGGGUUGAAUUAGAGCUGCAGCCGUCAGCCUACACCACAGCCACAGCAACACCAGAUCCAAGCCAAGUCUGUGACCUACACCACAGCUCAUGGCAAAGCCGGCUCCUUAACCCACUGAGUGAGGCCAGGGAUCGAACCCAUAUCCUCACGGAUGCUAGCCGGGUUCAUUACCACUGAGCCACAGUGGAACUCCAGCAAAGGACAAUUUUAAAGUCUUUCUGGCAACAAAAAGAAAUCAAAUAUAAGACCAUCUCUUUCAACCAGGCCAGUGAAGGAGAAAAGCAGCAGGGAAACAUGGGGAAAAUUCUUUCCCCUGAUUUAUUUCUCUUAGGGCAACAAUGAGUUUGCAAUCCUUGAACAGGCCUGUUGGAUGAUGAAGGGCAAAAGUUCCAAAUGCCAGACACCUCUUGGGCCUCACUGAGAUCCCUUUUCCUUAUCCCUUGCCACAAGAAUUCUAAUUCUGAUAGGACAGCAACAUGCUGCUUCAGGCUGUUUUGCGUGCUGAUUCCCAGCCUCCUUUGCAACUAGAAGUCGCCAUGUGAACCAAAACCAGCCAAUCAGGUGCAAGCAGAGCACGUUCUGACCUUUUUCCCUCUUCCCUCUGCCAGGCAUGUAGGAUGCUAAGCCUGGCAGUGAAACACCUAUCCCAUGAACGAUGACAAUGAAACUCUCAUGUUACUAAAAUGGAGAAGCAAAAGCUAGAAGGCCUGAGCCCCUGGAAGGAUCCUGAACUGCCUUUCUCUGGAUUUGAAUGAGGAGAAUAACCUCCCAUUGGACUGAGUCACCCUAGUCAGUUUUCUACAUGUCAUCCUAGCUGCAGGAAUUCUGCUGAAACAAUGGAGUUGGAGUUUUCUCUCAUUGUCUCAUGGAGUUUUCUCUCAUAGCACUGCGGUAGAAACAAGCAUGAAUGCCAAAUCAUCUAAUCCUUGUAAUUAGUAAAUACUUUCACUCCUCUCUUUCAGUUAUUUUUAUAUUUUUGGCAAUCAUUGCAAUUGUGCCAAUUUCAUACUAAGUUCUUAGAAUGCGGUUCUGAGCUCAUUCCAAAACAGUGAUUCUCCAUAAAUUAAAUUAUGUUUUCUCUUCUUCUACCUGGUAGCAUUCCAAAGCUCAUCUGUGGAGAGAUGGAAGGAGAAAGGGAAGAAAAGCAAGAGUAAAUGAUCUUGUCUUCCCAACUUGCUCCAAGCAUGUCCAAGCUAAAAAGGAACCCCCCCCCUUUGGUGUCUGCAAUUGGCAAGGGGUGCAGACUGGGUUGUUAGCAUCCCAAGGGAAAAAGUGCUGUACAGACAAAAGACUUUAUAUAUGAAACCAGCCCUGCUACCUUCACAUGGGCUUUAUUUCUUUAGUGGGCUCUGGUGGGGUGGGAGAUUUUUGUUUGUUUUUUGUUUUGGUUUCUGUUUUCCAUCACACCUGUGGCAUGUGGAAGUUCCUGGGCAAGGUAUCAAACCUGCACUACAGCACAGUGAUCAAGCCACUGCAGUGACAAUGCUAGAUCCUUAACUCGCGGCACCACCAGAACCCCAGCUCCGGUGUUUUUAAGAAGACAAACUCUCCAUGUUGUAAAGCAAUACUAACUGGGUGCAUUUGCCAGUCCCAAGGAAGGGCAAAUAGUCCUGUCUUCAAAAUGCCCAGGCCCCAUCCUCAUCAGGCCUCAGGAACUUCCCUGGACAACAGGGGAGUAAGAGGGUAAAACUGUUUCACUUUUAAGUCCUCCAAUUAUUUAAAGCCAUUGUUCAGCCCACCUACAUGUGGUGUCCAAUUCUUUUGAAACUUUUCCCUACACAUUCUUUCAAAUGUUCUAGAAAUAAGACAGAAACCUGGAGAAUUACUGACCCAAAGUGAUAAAGGCGGAUAUGAUUUUAAAUCACACACAUUUUAAGCCUCCAUAAUGAUGUGAGUUAUCCCCACUUGCUUAAACACUAAGAAAAUGAAAACAAUCUUGAAUUUCAAAACACCUCUUGGGAAAAGAACAAGUCUCCUACUAGAUUAAAUUAUAAUUAAAAUGUCAAGGAUGUCACAUUCAUUCAAUUAAUUAAAAUAAGAUUUUGGGUCACAGUGUGCUCUACCUUAGGACUUCUCAACCUCAACACUAUUGGCAUUUUGGAACAAAUAACUGUCUGCUGGGUGCUGUCCUGUGAUUGAAGUUUAGCAGCAUCCCUGGGUAAAGACUCCCAAAAAUGUCCCCAGACAUUUCCAAAUGUCCCCUAGGAAGCCAAAUCACAUAUAGGUCCUGCUGCUCUACCAGAAAAGGAUCUUCACACCCACUGUCAAGAGGAAAAAACUGAGGCCCAGAAGGGCCAAAGGCAGUUCGAUCCCAUGGAGCUGAAUCAGUGGCUGAGACAGCUCUGAGCCAUGGGUGCUGCUCCUCGGUGCUUUGUGUUUCCUCACGAUGAACUGGCUUGUGCUGGGACUCCAACUGAAGGCAACAAUAUUUUAAAAUUAAAAUAAACAUUACCAAAGGUAUAUUUUGAGGAAAUUAAUGGUAUAUUGGGGAUACUUGAAAGAAAAGAUAUUAAAUUUCAUGGCCAGUGAUAUCACUUCUCUCCUGUGACCUCAUGCAGACAGAUUCAACACAUAUUUAUUUAAACACUUUAGAGGCAUCUUCAACAUCAGGGAAGCAGAGGAGAGAGUCCCUGAUUCAGUGUAUCAGCAGUGCAGUGACCUGACACACCAGCCACCAUGGCAUAUAUACAGAGCCAAGUUCCAUAAGAAAAAGUGAUGUGGAGGCUCGGAAGGGAAAAGACUCACAUUAGCAUGGAGGUCAGAGAAAUACCAGAAGAAACAGCAACUGAGAUGGGCUUUGUGAGAUGGGAAAGGCAUGAAAGUAGGAAGUAAGGCACCACUUCUUGGGACCCAUGAGUUGCCUAACUGCUAAGGAACAGCUGAGCUUCUAAGCAGAUCCAUGCUAUAAAUGAUGCUGCACUUCUGGGAAAUGAUUUCACUAAAAAACUGCACAAUCAGAGAAGGGAUGGACUGGCAUGCCAUCACUGACUGUGUUGAGAAGGCUUCUGAAGCACAGUCUGGUCAAGGUGAGCGAGCACCACAAGGCAGUCUGUCAUCCCUGGCCUGAAACACUAGACAGUUAACAAGGCGUUAUUCCACCAGUGUAAGCAAAAGGCAUUGUGAGGGCUGGCCUGGGGGUCAAGUGGCAGGAAUAGGACACACUGGAACAAACACAUAAGAUGAUGCAGACACAGAAUGAUGGGAAGGAAGGGAAAAGGAUAAGAAGAAACACGACUAAUACCUUCUGAAUCUCAAUGAGUAGAGGAAUGAUGUGCCAUGAACAGAAACUUUCAGGUCAGGGGAAGAAUGGAUCCUGGGGGAGAAAAUGAGUUUGCAAUCUCAUGGAGAGAUCUGAGAGAAGUUCUUUAAGACAUUUAGAAAGAAGGGGUGGAACUCUGGUGAAAGAUCAGGACCAAGAUUUAACUUACAGAGAAAAGGAGAUUAACAAUUUGGAGUUUUCUGUAUAAUGCUGGCUCUUCAAGAUUUACCCAUAGAUAAACAAACAAACAAACAAACAAAAUAUAUAUAUAAAAAGGAUUUCCCAUCGUGGCACAGCAGAAACGAAUCCGACUAGGAACCAUGAGGUUGCGUGUUCGAUCCAUGGCCUCACUCAGUGGGUUAAGGAUCCUGCAUUGCUGUGGCUUUGGUGUAGGCUGGCAGCUAUAGCUCCAACUGGACCCCUAGCCUGGGAACUUCCAUAUGCCAUAGGUGUGGUCCUAAAAAAAAAAAAAAAAAUUUACCCAUAGAUAAGAUCCUUAAAAGAUGGGUAAUAGAGAAGAAUUUUUAUUUUUUGAAAGUAUAGUUGAUUUACAACGUUACAAUAUUAGCCUCACGUGUACAGCAAAGUGAUUCAGCUAAAUACACACACACACACACACACACACACACUUUUUUUUUUUUCAGAUUUUUUUUCCAUCAUAGGUGAUUACAAGAUAUUAAGUAUAGUUCCCUGUGCUAUACAGGAGGUCCUUGUUGCUUAUCUAUUUUAUAUAGUAGCAGGUAUAUGUUAAUCCCAAAUGCUUAAAAUAUCUCCCCCCUCUUUUCCUUUGGGAACCAUAAGCUUCUUUUCUACUGAGUCUAUUUCUGUUUAUGAAUAAGUUCAUUAGUUUUUAAGAUUCGACAUGUAAGUGCUAUCACAUUUGUCUUUGGCUUACUUCACUUAGUAUGAUAAUCUCUGUGUCCAUCUAUGUUGCUCCAAAUAGAAUUAUUUUCAUUCUCCUUUAUGGCUGAGUAGUACUCCAUUACACACACACACACACACACACACACACACACACACACACACACACACACCCCAUAUCUUCUUUAUCCAUUCCUCUGUCAAGGAACUCUUAGUUGCUUCUAUGUCUUAGCUACUGUAAAUAGUGCUGCAAUGAACACUGAGGCUCAUGUAUCUUUUUGAAUUAUAGUUUUCUCUGGAUUGAAGCCCUGGAGAAUGGCACUUUUAUUUUUAUUUUUUAAAAGAACUUCCAUAGUGGCUGUAUCACUUUACACUCCCACCAGUGGUGUAGGAAGGUUCCUUUGAGAAAAAAAAAAAAAAAA
rnacentral:lncRNA from 1 species